rnacentral:tRNA from 1 species
AAGGGUUGAUUUACUACGUGGAAUAGUCGGACUCGAAAUCCGGUGAACGGCUUGCUGUUCCGGGGGUUUGAAUCCCUCUCUUUCCG